CCACCGGCCUUUCUCAAGGCCACAAAGCUUGAUGUGUCAUUAUGCCU
rfam:Hypsibius dujardini strain Z151 scaffold0298, whole genome shotgun sequence.